GCUUACGGCCAUACCACCCUGAGAACGCCCGAUCUCGUCUGAUCUGGGAAGCUAAGCAGGGUCGGGCCUGGUUAGCACUUGGAUGGGAGACCGCCUGGGAAUACCAGGUGCUGUAAGCU
rnacentral:rRNA from 1 species